GCUGGAGGUAUCAGAAGUGCGAAUGCUGACAUAAGUAACGAUAAAGCGGGUGAAAAGCCCGCUCGCCGGAAGACCAAGGGUUCCUGUCCAACGUUAAUCGGGGCAGGGUGAGUCGACCCCUAAGGCGAGGCCGAAAGGCGUAGUCGAUGGGAAACGGGUUAAUAUUCCCGUACUUGGUGUUACUGCGAAGGGGGGACGGAGAAGGCUAUGUUGGCCGGGCGACGGUUGUCCCGGUUUAAGCGUGUAGGCUGGUUUUCCAGGCAAAUCCGGAAAAUCAAGGCUGAGGCGUGACGACGAGGCACCACGGUGCUGAAGCAACAAAUGCCCUGCUUCCAGGAAAAGCCUCUAAGCAUCAGGUAACACGAAAUCGUACCCCAAACCGACACAGGUGGUCAGGUAGAGAAUACCCAGGCGCUUGAGAGAACUCGGGUGAAGGAACUAGGCAAAAUGGUGCCGUAACUUCGGGAGAAGGCACGCUGACACGUAGGUGAAGUGAUUUACUCAUGGAGCUGAAGUCAGUCGAAGAUACCAGCUGGCUGCAACUGUUUAUUAAAAACACAGCACUGUGCAAACACGAAAGUGGACGUAUACGGUGUGACGCCUGCCCGGUGCCGGAAGGUUAAUUGAUGGGGUUAUCCUCGCGGAGAAGCUCCUGAUCGAAGCCCCGGUAAACGGCGGCCGUAACUAUAACGGUCCUAAGGUAGCGAAAUUCCUUGUCGGGUAAGUUCCGACCUGCACGAAUGGCGUAAUGAUGGCCAGGCUGUCUCCACCCGAGACUCAGUGAAAUUGAACUCGCUGUGAAGAUGCAGUGUACCCGCGGCAAGACGGAAAGACCCCGUGAACCUUUACUAUAGCUUGACACUGAACAUUGAGCCUUGAUGUGUAGGAUAGGUGGGAGGCUUUGAAGCGUGGACGCCAGUCUGCGUGGAGCCAACCUUGAAAUACCACCCUUUAAUGUUUGAUGUUCUAACGUGGACCCGUUACCCGGGUUGCGGACAGUGUCUGGUGGGUAGUUUGACUGGGGCGGUCUCCUCCCAAAGAGUAACGGAGGAGCACGAAGGUUGGCUAAUCCUGGUCGGACAUCAGGAGGUUAGUGCAAUGGCAUAAGCCAGCUUGACUGCGAGCGUGACGGCGCGAGCAGGUGCGAAAGCAGGUCAUAGUGAUCCGGUGGUUCUGAAUGGAAGGGCCAUCGCUCAACGGAUAAAAGGUACUCCGGGGAUAACAGGCUGAUACCGCCCAAGAGUUCAUAUCGACGGCGGUGUUUGGCACCUCGAUGUCGGCUCAUCACAUCCUGGGGCUGAAGUAGGUCCCAAGGGUAUGGCUGUUCGCCAUUUAAAGUGGUACGCGAGCUGGGUUUAGAACGUCGUGAGACAGUUCGGUCCCUAUCUGCCGUGGGCGCUGGAGAACUGAGGGGGGCUGCUCCUAGUACGAGAGGACCGGAGUGGACGCAUCACUGGUGUUCGGGUUGUCAUGCCAAUGGCACUGCCCGGUAGCUAAAUGCGGAAGAGAUAAGUGCUGAAAGCAUCUAAGCACGAAACUUGCCCCGAG
rnacentral:rRNA from 1 species